rnacentral:lncRNA from 1 species
AUUUGCUGUGCCACUUAAUGCAGGCCACCAAACUGAUGCCCUGAGAUGGAAGAUGUACAAGACUUGCUGCUGAGAAUACAGAAUUGGAACCACUUUGGCACUCUUCACAAAAAUCAGAGCUUCCAUCCUAAUUUUUCCUACCCUGUGCCUUUCUGCAACAGAGAUUUUUCUUCUACAAGUGGUUUCCAGACAAGAUUUAGUGCACAUUACGAACACCUUGCCAAGAAGGGGAGUGAGAGCACUGGGAUUUAACACCUUUGGUGCUCCUGCAGCUCUGCCCCAGGGACAAAGUCAGGUAUUGUACAGCGCAUUUGCUUUUCUCUCCCUUUUUUUGUUUAAAUUAAACUCUUUGUAUA